AAAGAAUGAAUGUCUUUUUCUGGGCUGAAACAAAACAGAAGAAAAAGUAAGCUUAUAAUAAUAGCCACAAACAGGACCAGUCUGUUUUUACUUUUGUCUUCUUUGUAGGCUGUAAAAAUCUUAAUAUAUUCACUGAAAUAACUGGGGACUAGUUUCAGAUAUGCCUCCAAACUAGUUUUAACUACCACGUGGUAUAUAUACAUCCAUUCCUCCCCCCUUUUGUUUAAUGGUGAUGACACUAAACAUUUUCAAACUCUUAUCCAUAAAAUCACUGGUGAUAAUAUUGCUGGUAGCAUUCUCUUUUGGUUGGCCAAUGCUGUUGGUAAACAUGACUAACAGGCUGCAGUAUCAUUGUAUGUACUGUUGCCAAGAUAGUAGACAAUGAUAGUGAGGCUGACCAGAACUCUCAAUGAUUCGUGGAGACUUAAGGGAAUAAACUUGCCUUUUCUCAGUUUUCUGAGUGUGUGUAAAAUUGUUAGUGGCUACCACUUUCUGAUUAACCUUUGGUUUUCUCUGUCCUUGAGAUGAAUUCUUUCCCUGUUAGCUUUUACACCCCAAAUAGAUAAUAAUCCCCUAGAAUUCCUGUUUUACUGGUUCUUUAGGUCUGUCAAGAUCAUAGACACUUGCCAGAUAUAUGAAGAAGGAUAUAUGAAGCCUAUGAGAAGCCAAGGCACAACCAGCAGAGAAUGAUUACCGAACUUUCUACUCUAAAUAAAAAACACUGACAGAUCACAAAAGGGAAAGGUUGACCAUUUCUCAUGGGCACGACGCUGUCAGAAGUAUAAGGACUGUCAUACUGCGGUAAUGAAAAACUCUGAUCCGUAGCGUUCUGGAAUUGAGGUGAAAGUCAUUGGACUGCCAGGGCCAGGAAGCAGGAGUGGGUGGGUUGGUUAGCAGGGGGAGGGGGUAAGGGAUAGUGGGUUUUUGGAGGGGAAACUAAGAAAGGGCAUAACAGUUGAAAUGUAAAUAAAUAAAAUAUCUAAUAAAUUAAAAAAAAAAAGAAAGUCAUUGUUUUUGAGAUGGAGAUGGAAUUAGACAUACGCAGUAGGUUUGAAUCCAAGUUUCACAGCAGUACAAAAACCCAGACACACUUGUGUUCUUGGCCAUGCCACAGGGGGUCCAAGAAACAUGUGCUCUUGUGACUUAAUUUAGAAAUAGUAAACAUCAAGAAUGCCAAUGAAUUGGGUAGGUGGCACCUGCAGUGUGACAGCAAUCCAAAGCGUCCUCCCAUUUAUUUGCUUACUCAUCCAUGAAGGUUUUGUAGCUGCAGAUCAUGGGACUCUUGAAUCACUUUAAAAGAACAUGGAAACUAUGGUCCAGAAUGAGAUUAUAUUAUCCACAAGGCACUUACUGAACCGUGGAAUUCAAGUGAAUCCCUAAACUAUUAUAACAGCUUUCUUUUCUUUUCCCUUUCCUUUCCUUUCCUUUCCUUUCCUUUCCUUUCCUUUCCUUUCCUUUCCUUUCCUUUCCUUUCCUUUCCUUUCCUUUCCUUUCCUUUCCUUUCCUUUCCUUUCCUUUUCUUUUCUUUUCUUUUCUUUUUCCUUCAAUGCUAAAGCAAGAGCAGUUUUAUUGUUCCAGCAUGCUGGGGUCACCCUGCACACGAAGGAGCGAGAAAACACAACCAUGCGCAGCCCAUUUGCAGCCGCGG
rnacentral:lncRNA from 1 species